rnacentral:rRNA from 1 species
UACAGAGGUCCCAAGCGUUGUUCGGAUUCAUUGGGCGUAAAGGGUGCGUAGGCGGCGCGGUAAGUUGGGUGUGAAAUCUCGGAGCUUAACUCCGAAACUGCAUUCGAUACUGCCGUGCUUGAGGACUGGAGAGGAGACUGGAAUUUACGGUGUAGCGGUGAAAUGCGUAGAUAUCGUAAGGAAGACCAGUGGCGAAGGCGGGUCUCUGGACAGUUCCUGACGCUGAGGCACGAAGGUCAGGGGAGCAAACGGG